AUUGGCACAAGUGCAAGAAGGGGAACAAAUAUGACAUUGCUGCUUUGAUGGAGUUGAGAGAACCACCAAAGAAGAGGAGGAAGACUACCAAAUCAGCCGAGUCAUCCAUUGUGCCAAGAGGUGAUGAAGCACCGGCAACCGCUAUGUAUUUUCCACCAAGCCAAAGCUUAGAAAUUACAACCAAGAAGAAAGGAAAACAUAGCCAAACUUUGAAGACUACA